GAGUUUGAUCGUGGCUCAGAUUGAACGCUGGCGGCAUGCCUUACACAUGCAAGUCGAACGGCAGCAUGAUCUAGCUUGCUAGAUUGAUGGCGUGUGGCGAACGGGUGAGUAAUACAUCGGAACGUGCCCUGUAGUGGGGGAUAACUAGUCGAAAGAUUAGCUAAUACCGCAUACGACCCUGGAGGUAGAAAGGGUCGGGGGACCGACGAACGGCCU
rnacentral:rRNA from 1 species